UGAACGCUAGCGGCAGGCCUAACACAUGCAAGUCGAACGGUAACAGGAAAAAGCUUGCUUUUUUGCUGACGAGUGGCGCACGGGUGCGUAACGCGUAUACAAUCUACCUUUUACAGGGGGAUAGCCUUUAGAAAUGAAGAUUAAUACCCCAUAGUAUAUAUAGAUGGCAUCAUUUAUAUAUUAAAGUUUCGGCGGUAAAAGAUGAGUAUGCGUUCUAUUAGCUAGUAGGUGUGGUAACGACACACCUAGGCAACGAUAGAUAGGGGCCCUGAGAGGGGGAUCCCCCACACUGGUACUGAGACACGGACCAGACUCCUACGGGAGGCAGCAGUGAGGAAUAUUGGACAAUGGGCGAGAGCCUGAUCCAGCCAUGCCGCGUGCAGGAAGACUGCCCUAUGGGUUGUAAACUGCUUUUAUACGGGAAGAAACCCACCUACGUGUAGGUGGCUGACGGUACCGUAAGAAUAAGCAUCGGCUAA
rnacentral:rRNA from 1 species